rnacentral:tRNA from 1 species
GAGGGUAUAACUUAGUGGUAGAGUGCGUGCCUAGCAUGCACGAGGUCUGGGGUUCAAGCCCCAGUACCUCCA